rnacentral:rRNA from 1 species
GACGAACGCUGGCGGCGUGCUUAACACAUGCAAGUCGAACGGAAAGGCCCUGCUUUUGUGGGGUGCUCGAGUGGCGAACGGGUGAGUAACACGUGAGUAACCUGCCCUUGACUUUGGGAUAACUUCAGGAAACUGGGGCUAAUACCGGAUAGGAGCUCCUGCUGCAUGGUGGGGGUUGGAAAGUUUCGGCGGUUGGGGAUGGACUCGCGGCUUAUCAGCUUGUUGGUGGGGUAGUGGCUUACCAAGGCUUUGACGGGUAGCCGGCCUGAGAGGGUGACCGGGCCCAUUGGGACUGAGAUACGGCCCAGACUCCUACGGGAGGCAGCAGUGGGGAAUAUUGCACACUGGGCGGAAGCCUGAUGCAGCACCGCCGCGUGCGGGAUGACGGCCUUCGGGUUUUAUACCGCUUUCGCCUGUGACGAAGCGUGAGUGACGGUAAUGGGUAAAGAAGCACCGGCUAACUACGUG